UCUGUGGAAACAUGGCGGUGGCGGGUGCAAACCCAUUGUACGCGGAUAGGCGAUACCUGAGGGUGUCGUCCUGGUCUAAGGCAAACAAAGGGCCGUGUACGUCGAAAAACGAGUUUCACCUUUUGCAACUUUCACUUUAUUAUUUAUUGGCUUGUUUGAUUCCGUACCGUUGACAGUAGUCGCCGUCCCUGCGUAUCUCACGUACGGCAGUGUUCGUUGAACGCGCAUUUCGUCCGGUACAUCCGCACCAGAAACACCGUCAGCGCCGCAGAAACUUCUUUUUUCGAUUCCGAGAAAAAAUUUCUUGAAAUACAAACUUCAGAUGAAGAAUAUUUCCGUCUGGCCUAGUUUUCAUAGCUACGGAAAUUCAUAUCUAUGAACUGAAUUCUUAUAAAAAAAAAAGAACUGCAAAUUUUGAAAUUUGAAAAUGAGACAUAAUACUUACAAUUUUUAGAAAUUUUAAAACGAGUGAAAAAAGAAACUGCCUUCUACACCACUGCUGUUGGUCGCUGAACCGGACAACGAUUCACGGGAGGGGCGGAAAACAUUACACCAAUGGUCAUAACCCGACUGCGGUCACCGCAAGUGCCCCGUCAACCAACAUCCGGAUAAGUGAUCAUAUUGAAAUUAGUUACAAGUUCACAUGCGUCAAAUACCUCUACUAGACGUCUCAUUCAUUGGGCUGGUCAGGUGAAACGAUGUAAAUUUGGUUUGAACUCAUUUCGACGGCAAGGUCAGAUAAGAACUGCGUAUGAAUUAUUAUUUUCGUACCGAGUCUGAGCAGUCUUAACGACACUCGAAAAAAUGGAAUGAACUUAGCAAAUGAAAGACUAUGUAGAGCCAUCGAAAACUGAUACCAUUAUUUUAAUUAAUAUAAUAUUAAAUGAACAUGAUAUUUUUUAGUUAAAUGUUUUUUUUUUUUUUAAUUAUUAUGUUUAAUAAAUAAUUAUUGUAAGCUGGAAUGGUAAUAAAUGUACUGUGUUGUGCCCAAUGAUUUAUAUGUUUUGUAGAUAAUUAUAAAAUGCGUUACAUAAUUUGUUAAUAGAAAGGUUUUUUCUCUGAUAACACAUUAAGAAAAUUCGAGAAUGUUGUUUAAUAUUUAAUAUAUUAUUUAAUGCUUUAGUCCUACCAUGUGCGUUUUUUAAAUUAUGUUAAAUCGAUUUUUUACAAAUUCUGUAUCAAAAAAUACCUAAUUACCAAUCCAGCAAUGAGUUAUUAUGAAUAACAAAAUCUUUUUUAUUAUUUGUUUAAAAAUUUAAUGAGCUCAUUAAAAAAAUCUAUAUACAAGCAGGAAUCCAAUGAUUGAA